AGAGUUUGAUCCUGGCUCAGGAUGAACGCUAGCGACAGGCCUAACACAUGCAAGUCGAGGGGCAGCGGAGAGGUAGCAAUACCUUUGCCGGCGACCGGCGCACGGGUGAGUAACACGUAUGCAAUCCACCUGUAACAGGGGGAUAACCCGGAGAAAUCCGGACUAAUACCCCAUAAUAUGGGCUCUCCGCAUGGAGGGUCCAUUAAAGAGAGCAAUUUUGGUUACAGACGAGCAUGCGCUCCAUUAGCCAGUUGGCGGGGUAACGGCCCACCAAAGCGACGAUGGAUAGGGGUUCUGAGAGGAAGGUCCCCCACAUUGGAACUGAGACACGGUCCAAACUCCUACGGGAGGCAGCAGUGAGGAAUAUUGGUCAAUGGUCGGCAGACUGAACCAGCCAAGUCGCGUGAGGGAAGACGGCCCUACGGGUUGUAAACCUCUUUUGUCGGAGAGUAAAGUACGCUACGUGUAGCGUAUUGCAAGUAUCCGAAGAAAAAGCAUCGGCUAACUCCGUGCCAGCAGCCGCGGUAAUACGGAGGAUGCAAGCGUUAUCCGGAUUUAUUGGGUUUAAAGGGUGCGUAGGCGGCACGCCAAGUCAGCGGUGAAAUUUCCGGGCUCAACCCGGACUGUGCCGUUGAAACUGGCGAGCUAGAGUGCACAAGAGGCAGGCGGAAUGCGUGGUGUAGCGGUGAAAUGCAUAGAUAUCACGCAGAACCCCGAUUGCGAAGGCAGCCUGCUAGGGUGCGACAGACGCUGAGGCACGAAAGCGUGGGUAUCGAACAGGAUUAGAUACCCUGGUAGUCCACGCAGUAAACGAUGAAUACUAACUGUUCGGAGGGCGACCUCUGAGUGGUAAAGCGAAAGCGUUAAGUAUUCCACCUGGGGAGUACGCCGGCAACGGUGAAACUCAAAGGAAUUGACGGGGGCCCGCACAAGCGGAGGAACAUGUGGUUUAA
rnacentral:rRNA from 1 species